AACAAGGAUUCCCUUAGUAACUGCGAGUGAAGAGGGAAAAGCUCAAAUUUAAAAUCUGGCAGUGUUUCAUUGUCCGAGUUGUAACCUAGAGAAGUGUAACCUGUGCUGGACCGUGUACAAGUCUCCUGGAAUGGAGCAUCACAGAGGGUGAGAAUCCCGUCUUUGACACGGACUACCAGUGCAUUGUGGUUGUGCUCUCAACGAGUCGAGUUGUUUGGGAAUGCAGCUCUAAAUGGGUGGUAAAUUCCAUCUAAAGCUAAAUAUUGGCGAGAGACCGAUAGCGAACAAGUACCGUGAGGGAAAGAUGAAAAGAACUUUGGAAAGAGAGUUAAACAGUAUGUGAAAUUGUUGAAAGGGAAACGUUUGAAGUCAGUCGUGUUGGCUGGGGAUCAACCUGACUUAUUGUUAGGUGUAUUUCCUGGUUGACGGGCCAACAUCAGUUUUGACUGCCAGAAAAAGGCCAAGGGAAUGUGGCACCUUUGGGUGUGUUAUAGCUUUUGGUCGUAUGUGGUGGUUGGGACUGAGGACAGCAGUGCGCCGCAAUGGCAGGGUUUCGACCACAUUCGCACUGAGGAUGUUGGCAUAAUGGCUUUAAGCGACCCGUCUUGAAACACGGACCAAGGAGUCUAACAUGCAUGCGAGUGUUUGGGUGGAAAACCCUUACGCGUAAUGAAAGUGAAAGUUGAGAUCCCUGUCGUGGGGAGCAUCGACGCCCGGACCAGAACUUUUGGGACGGAUCUGCGGUAGAGCACGUAUGUUGGGACCCGAAAGAUGGUGAACUAUGCCUGAAUAGGGUGAAGCCAGAGGAAACUCUGGUGGAGGCUCGUAGCGAUUCUGACGUGCAAAUCGAUCGUCAAAUUUGGGUAUAGGGGCGAAAGACUAAU
rnacentral:rRNA from 1 species